rnacentral:rRNA from 1 species
CAGCCGUAAACUAUGCGCGUUAGGUGUACUGGUGACCACGAGUCACCGGGUGCCGAAGGGAAACCGUGAAACGUGCCGCCUGGGAAGUACGGUCGCAAGGCUGAAACUUAAAGGGAUUGGCGGGGGAGCACCACAACGGGUGGAGCCUGCGGUUUAAUUGGACUCAACGCCGGAAAUCUCACCGGAUAGGACAGACAUAUGAUAGUCGGGCUGAAGACUCUACUUGAUGAUCUGAGAGGAGGUGCAUGGCGUCAGUGACU